rnacentral:rRNA from 1 species
GAUGAACGCUGGCGGCGUGCCUAAUACAUGCAAGUCGAGCGAAUGGAUUAAGAGCUUGCUCUUAUGAAGUUAGCGGCGGACGGGUGAGUAACACGUGGGUAACCUGCCCAUAAGACUGGGAUAACUCAGGGAAACCGGGGCUAAUACCGGAUAACAUUUUGAACCGCAUGGUUCGAAAUUGAAAGGCGGCUUCGGCUGUCACUUAUGGAUGGACCCGCGUCGCAUUAGCUAGUUGGUGAGGUAACGGCUCACCAAGGCAACGAUGCGUAGCCGAGCGGGGGGGUGGAGCGGCCACACUGGGACGGGACCACGGCCCAGACUCCUACGGGAGGCAGCAGUAGGGAAUCUUCCGCAAUGGACGAAAGUCUGACGGAGCAACGCCGCGUGAGUGAUGAAGGCUUUCGGGUCGUAAAACUCUGUUGUUAGGGAAGAACAAGUGCUAGUUGAAUAAGCUGGCACCUUGACGGUACCUAACCAGAAAGCCACGGCUAACUACGUGCCAGCCGCCGCGGUAA